AAGACAAAAUAUUAUAGUGCUUCUAUUUCCUCCUUUCUGAAAAUGUCUACCAAGGUGCUCCUCAUUGGAAUUUAUCCAAGUCUGAGAUUACCCGGCACUCUGUGAAAAUGUAAUCUGUUCCAUGUCUGCAACAAGGAGUAUCCACUACACUACCAUCCCAAGCUAAAACGGGAAAUUGUAGAACAUGUAAACAGCACAUGGAUUGGGGAAGCAGAAACUAAAGAGCGAUUGAGAAAACGCAACAGUAAUCACAUCCUUAAAACUGAAUACCCCCAGGGCCGGCCCAGGAUGGUUGGCAGACCUGGACAUCUCUGUUCUGUUUGCUUUGGAAAGAUGGAAUGGAAAGUGAAGGAGGCUGCUAGGCCUCCUUCUUCGUGGAAAAUAGAAGAGCCCAAUUCCAUAGAGGACUUUUCUGCCUUCAACAUUAAAAGAACCACAUAAUCCAAAGAAAGUUUCUUCCACCUUCUAGCCAAUGGUUACCUGACCCAGCGCUGGAACUUUACAGAUGGCACAUUGAGAUCCACACAGUUCAGUGACUUGCCUACAGCCACGCAGAGAAUACUUGGCAAAACCUGAAUUAUUUCUAAUUUCAAAGGUUGGGUAAUAUUAAUUAAAUUGUUGACAAGGUC